UCCCAUCUUAGACACAAGCAUUGUUCUGGACUGGGCUUGCAAUAUAUGAUUUUCCUUCCAAAUUCAGAAGCUACAGUUUCUUAUCAUCAACGACUUCUAAAAUUUUAACAAUUAAAAAAUGUUCCCUGCCUAGAAGGAAACAGAGAGAUCAAAAGAUUACAAGUUCUCCAGCCACACUUGCUUUGUACACACAGCCUUUUAAUAUUUUCCAGAACUAUUCUUUGACUUCCAGUUGAGCAGAGAAUUGAAUUAAUCAGACUAAGUCCAGUUUAGAACCUAAUAGGAUCCAAACACAAUAAAAUUGCCCAUGCAAAAGGUCACCACUAUCUAAAGCUGGGAAGACUACAUAAAUGGAACAGCAGACAGCACAGCAUAAAAGGUCCGUGAAUUUUUUUGUUAACUGAUGUGUGUGUGUACUACAUGAAAUUAGAACACACGCUUAGGGAAGACAGCAAUGGCUAUUUGAUAAAUGGAUGCCUG